GACUACAUGAAGCCGGAAUCGCUAGUAAUCGCGGAUCAGAAUGCCGCGGUGAAUACGUUCCCGGGUCUUGUACACACCGCCCGUCACACCAUGAGAGUCGGAAAUGCCCGAAGCCGGUGACCCAACCCGAAAGGGAGGGAGCCGUCGAAGGCAGGUCGGAUGACUGGGGUGAAGUCGUAACAAGGUAUC
rnacentral:rRNA from 1 species